AACGUAGGAGGCGAGCGUUAUCCGGAUUUACUGGGCGUAAAGGGCAAGUAGGCGGUAGCCAAAGUUGGGCGUGACAAUUCUCGGCUCAACUGGGAGGGGUCGUUCAAAACUAGGCUACUAGAGGGCAGGAGAGGGAAGCGGAAUUCCUAAUGUAGCGGUGGAAUGCUCAGAUAUUAGGAAGAACACCAGUGGCGAAGGCGGCUUCCUGGCCUGAACCUGACGCUGAGAGGCGAAAGCUAGGGGAGCGAAC
rnacentral:rRNA from 1 species